rnacentral:rRNA from 1 species
CACUCCUACGGGAGGCAGCAGUGGGGAAUUUUGGACAAUGGGCGAAAGCCUGAUCCAGCAAUGCCGCGUGAGUGAAGAAGGCCUUCGGGUUGUAAAGCUCUUUUGUCAGGGAAGAAACGGUGAAAGCUAAUAUCUUUUGCUAAUGACGGUACCUGAAGAAUAAGCACCGGCUAACUACGUGCCAGCAGCCGCGGUAAUACGUAGGGUGCAAGCGUUAAUCGGAAUUACUGGGCGUAAAGCGUGCGCAGGCGGUUUUGUAAGUCUGAUGUGAAAUCCCCGGGCUCAACCUGGGAAUUGCAUUGGAGACUGCAAGGCUAGAAUCUGGCAGAGGGGGGUAGAAUUCCACGUGUAGCAGUGAAAUGCGUAGAUAUGUGGAGGAACACCGAUGGCGAAGGCAGCCCCCUGGGUCAAGAUUGACGCUCAUGCACGAAAGCGUGGGGAGCAAACAGGAUUAGAUACCCUGGUAGUCCCAUG